rnacentral:rRNA from 1 species
AUUGAACGCUGGCGGCAGGCCUAACACAUGCAAGUCGAGCGGUAGCACAGAGAGCUUGCUCUCGGGUGACGAGCGGCGGACGGGUGAGUAAUGUCUGGGAAACUGCCUGAUGGAGGGGGAUAACUACUGGAAACGGUAGCUAAUACCGCAUAAUGUCGCAAGACCAAAGUGGGGGACCUUCGGGCCUCAUGCCAUCAGAUGUGCCCAGAUGGGAUUAGCUAGUAGGUGGGGUAAUGGCUCACCUAGGCGACGAUCCCUAGCUGGUCUGAGAGGAUGACCAGCCACACUGGAACUGAGACACGGUCCAGACUCCUACGGGAGGCAGCAGUGGGGAAUAUUGCACAAUGGGCGCAAGCCUGAUGCAGCCAUGCCGCGUGUGUGAAGAAGGCCUUCGGGUUGUAAAGCACUUUCAGCGGGGAGGAAGGCGUUAAGGUUAAUAACCUUGGCGAUUGACGUUACCCGCAGAAGAAGCACCGGCUAACUCCGUGCCAGCAGCCGCGGUAAUACGGAGGGUGCAAGCGUUAAUCGGAAUUACUGGGCGUAAAGCGCACGCAGGCGGUCUGUCAAGUCGGAUGUGAAAUCCCCGGGCUCAACCUGGGAACUGCAUUCGAAACUGGCAGGCUAGAGUCUUGUAGAGGGGGGUAGAAUUCCAGGUGUAGCGGUGAAAUGCGUAGAGAUCUGGAGGAAUACCGGUGGCGAAGGCGGCCCCCUGGACAAAGACUGACGCUCAGGUGCGAAAGCGUGGGGAGCAAACAGGAUUAGAUACCCUGGUAGUCCACGCCGUAAACGAUGUCGAUUUGGAGGUUGUGCCCUUGAGGCGUGGCUUCCGGAGCUAACGCGUUAAAUCGACCGCCUGGGGAGUACGGCCGCAAGGUUAAAACUCAAAUGAAUUGACGGGGGCCCGCACAAGCGGUGGAGCAUGUGGUUUAAUUCGAUGCAACGCGAAGAACCUUACCUGGUCUUGACAUCCACAGAACUUAGCAGAGAUGCUUUGGUGCCUUCGGGAACUGUGAGACAGGUGCUGCAUGGCUGUCGUCAGCUCGUGUUGUGAAAUGUUGGGUUAAGUCCCGCAACGAGCGCAACCCUUAUCCUUUGUUGCCAGCGGUUAGGCCGGGAACUCAAAGGAGACUGCCAGUGAUAAACUGGAGGAAGGUGGGGAUGACGUCAAGUCAUCAUGGCCCUUACGACCAGGGCUACACACGUGCUACAAUGGCAUAUACAAAGAGAAGCGACCUCGCGAGAGCAAGCGGACCUCAUAAAGUAUGUCGUAGUCCGGAUUGGAGUCUGCAACUCGACUCCAUGAAGUCGGAAUCGCUAGUAAUCGUAGAUCAGAGUGCUACGGUGAAUACGUUCCCGGGCCUUGUACACACCGCCCGUCACACCAUGGGAGUGGGUUGCAAAAGAAGUAGGUAGCUUAACCUUCGGGAGGGCGCUUACCACUUUGUGAUUCAUGACUGGGGUGA